rnacentral:lncRNA from 1 species
UAAUGAAUGUAUACGGUAAAUUACUUAUGACUCAUAAAUGGAUUUUCUAUCUUUUUUAUUUCCUUUAAUACCUUGUUUUCUUUAUUUCCAUGCAAAAACCUUGGAUUUAAAAAAAACUUUUUAUGCAAAUUAUUGGUACGGCAUGCCGUACCAACAAAAAUUAUUGGUACGGCGGCUGCCGUACCUGCCGUACCGGCUGCUACGCCCC